rnacentral:tmRNA from 1 species
GCAAUUUCCAGUAUAAAGAUUAUAAUCGUUGUGUCACGCAAGUGGUGAUGAUUCUGAACCCAUUGUGGAAUAGACGUUUUGGACCCGGGGGCGGUACCCGGCACCUCCACCAAUAAAAAUAUGGGGGGUGUACAAGUUUCGACAGACGUAAUAAAGGCAAAUGGCUGAAUCCGACGUGGUGUCGUUAAAGACCAACAAAAAAAUGAAUGCGAACGAUAAUGUUCGUCUUGCAAUGGCUGCCUAAGAUAUAGGUUGGAUAUAAUUGGCAAUGGUUGAUUAUGUCCGUUUGGCUUUUUGCGGGGCUGGCCGGGUGCCUGGCACCAGAAACC